rnacentral:tRNA from 1 species
GAGAAAUUAGUUAAUUCAUAACACUACCUUGUCAAGGUAAAAUUAUGGGCUAAAACCCCAUAUUUCUUU